rnacentral:rRNA from 1 species
GUUGGAGCAGUCACGACAGUGUGCAGGAACAAUAAUGGAGACUAUCUUGGAUCCUCGGCGUUUGUCGUACGAGGGUUGAUAGAUCCGCCUACUCUUGAAGCUAUUGCAUGCAGAGAAGGCUUAUCUCUGGCUGAAGAUCUGGGGCUCCAGAAGUUGGUGAUUGCGUCGGGCUGUCAAGAGGUAGUGAAGCAUAUCAAAGAAAAAUCAGGUGGAAACUACGGUGGAGUGGUGAAAGAGAUAACUUCAUGGUAAUCUUCUUUUAGUUUUUGCUGUUUUAAGUUUGAAUCUAGAGUCUCAAAUUUUGAGCCUCAUAAACUAGCUAGGCAUGCUGUAAAGUUGGUUCAUGGCUGA